CUUUGGGUUGGACAGUGCCCUAGCUGGGGUUGUCUGUGGUGUAUUGCAUGGUGCAUUGGACAAUAUGCUGGAUGGUACAUUUGUUCAGGCAGCGUUCUGGAUAGCACAGGAGGCAGUGUGCCAGGAAUUAACACAGGGAGCCCAUUUUGCAAAGCCUCGUGAAGCGCAAACAAAGAAUUCCCUUCCCACCUGGUCCAUCAGAACCCUGAUCCAUUAACCUUCCAGAUAUGUGGCAAAGCCCGACUGCUGCAAGUGGCUCCCUCGCCUUUCUAUUAAUGGGGCUCCAGCACCUGUCAGCUGAUCUGAUCUUUCUGCUAUCACCCCUUUGAGGAUGAACACUUAGGCUUUGACAUUAUGUGUGUCGCGCACUGCUACCAACAUGAGGCUCCAGCAGAAGACCAGGGACAACCUACAAAGAGAUGCCCCACAACCGAACAGAUAGACUGAUCAUGCCCUGCACGUGUAUCUGGCGACAGCAAAGGGAAAUGCUGAACAAAGGAAGGCGAUUACAUAGGAAGAAAACAACCAUUUUCCUACUUAAAAGAAGUAGUGGCCAGAAAGUAGAUGAGCCAUACAAGCCUAGAAAUGUCUCCAGACUAAAAUAAAUGGUAAGCUUUGAAAAUCUACCUCUGAGAGAUUAUGUAGGUGGAACUUUACAAAAGAAAUCUCUGGGGUUUACCCCAGUGCAAGCAGUUGCUUUAAAUCAUUUGCUAAGCACUUGAGAAUUUAAUAUCAGCUUUUGAUAUAGUACUUUUCUAAAGUGAUUUUGGAGAUUACGUGUGGGGGAGGAGGGAGGAGUUAAAAAUAAACCUGAAUGGGAGGGCUUGGUUCUAAUACCAGUCUCAGUGUCGGAAGGGAAAGUCAUGAAUAUCUUGUUUCAGAAUGGAGCCCUGACAGCACAGGAUAUCAUUUCCUGGCUUGAAAGCACACAGCAAAGUUUUCAGUGCACUGUCCAAAAAUACUGACACACUGAUUCAGAGAUGGGGGAUGGAAAACAGCUGAUAAGCUGUAGAUAAAGGGAAAUGCUUUUAAACAUCCUUCCAAACAGAUUUUUUUUUUUUUACAUGGUGGAAAUGUAGAGAUGCUCUGAAUCAACCCCUGGAUCCAAAUAUCCCUCGACUCUGGGGAAGUCAAUGCUCCGCUGACGGAGAUCCCAUCCUGGAGACAGAUCCUGGGCUGCUGUAAAUCAGGGUAGCUCCCCUGAAUCUCGGUCUCCAUAGCUGACUGAAUGCAAACCCUAUGGGCCAGAUUCUUAGCUAGUGUAAGUCAACGUAGCUCCAUGAAAAGCAAUGGAGCAUCACAGGUUUACAUCCAGUGAGGAGCUGAGCCUAUAUCUAAACACUCAUACGUCCUCAUUUUAGAAAAAAAUACUACGUUUUGCCCUAAAUACUGUGGACUAGAUCCCCAGUGGUUGUAAAUCAGCGUAACUCCCUGAAGUCCAUAGAGCUCCACUAAUUGACACCAACCAAAGAUGAGGUUUAAGCAUAUCAAUGGGGCCGUACCUGCAUGAACUGCAUUAGGACCUCCCUCAAGCUCUGCACUGGAUAGUCCUGUUUCCCCGAAACAUCUCUUGGAAGUGGUCCACAGCAUCUGGUUGUGACGGUGCCCCCCAUAAGGCUCCCUGGGAAUAUGCUUAUGAAUGUAUUUAUGAUAUAACUGGAAUACGUUUUAUGCUACAUAUGCCACGGAACAUAUCUAUGUAA